AGUGAACGCUGGCGGUAGGCCUAACACAUGCAAGUCGAACGGCAGCACAGUAAGAGCUUGCUCUUACGGGUGGCGAGUGGCGGACGGGUGAGGAAUACAUCGGAAUCUACUUUUUCGUGGGGGAUAACGUAGGGAAACUUACGCUAAUACCGCAUACGACCUACGGGUGAAAGCAGGGGAUCUUCGGACCUUGCGCGAUUGAAUGAGCCGAUGUCGGAUUAGCUAGUUGGCGGGGUAAAGGCCCACCAAGGCGACGAUCCGUAGCUGGUCUGAGAGGAUGAUCCGCCACACGGGAACUGGAAACCGGCCCGACACCCUCGGGGGGGCAGAAGGGGGGAAUUUGGGAAAAGGGGCGAAAGCCUGACCCGGCCAUCCCGGGGGGGUGAAGAAGGCCUGCGGGUUGUAAAGCCUUUUUUUGGGGAAAAAAAAGCAGCAGGUUAAAACCCCGCUGUUUUGACGGGACCCAAAAAAAAAGCACCGGUAAACUUCGU
rnacentral:rRNA from 1 species